UUGCAUGCAUUAUGGAUUUAAUAAUAAAAAAAAAGCAUGGACAUAAGAAUAUUAAAAGAAACAAAAUGCUGAAAGACAAUAAAACAUUAAAAAAAAAAUGUGAAAGAAAAGAAACGAAAUACUAAAAGAAAAAGAAAAUGCUAAAAAAAUGUUACAUACAAGUAUCGAACCCACUCCUCCAAAGACUUAGAAUCUACACUCUCUCCACUAGACUGCUUAUAAACUAGAUGUUAUCUUAAUGCUAGCUUAAAUAUAUAAACUAACAUAAACUAAAAAAA
rnacentral:lncRNA from 1 species